UACGUAGGGUGCAAGCGUUAAUCGGAAUUACUGGGCGUAAAGCGUGCGCAGGCGGUUAUGUAAGACAGUUGUGAAAUCCCCGGGCUCAACCUGGGAACUGCAUCUGUGACUGCAUCGCUGGAGUGCGGCAGAGGGGGAUGGAAUUCCGCGUGUAGCAGUGAAAUGCGUAGAUAUGCGGAGGAACACCGAUGGCGAAGGCAAUCCCCUGGGCCUGCACUGACGCUCAUGCACGAAAGCGUGGGGAUCAAACAGG
rnacentral:rRNA from 1 species